ACAGGGCAGAACAUCAGAAAUAGAGAUUUGGGUACACUAUAUUUUACUAUUGUAGUGGGAAAUACUCUGAAGUCCCAUGAGCAGUUCCUGGAAAAUCUCCAUGAAAGAAGACGUCUAAGGAGUGUGUCUGAUGUGGGGAAGUGUGAUGUAAUUUUGGUUUUCUGUCCAAUUGUUUCACAACCUGGAACUGACAUUGAAGCAGCACUGCUUCAACUUAAUCGUUUAUCAGAUAAACCUGCAGUUCUAGUGGUGCUCCAUCACACAUUCAACCCAGACCUCAUUGUACCAGACAGCAGCAGAACUGUGUCCAGAAAGAAAACACUCACAGUGGACUGUCUGUUCCAUGAGGAUAGAGGACUGCUGCAGUGCAGAAAGAAUGAUGACGCUUUAAAAGAGGUUUCAAACUGGAUCAAAUCUGAGAACUCACUUUAGCUGACUUCUAAAGAAGACUCCAUUAUUAAGUCAGCCAUGAGUUUUUAAAGGAUCUUAAAGAAAGAAGUAGGAAGGAAAUUCUGGCCAGUGGACACUGAGAAGAUUCUUCACCCACAGGCCACUUCAAGGGAGGCUGUGAGCUCUACUGAUUUUUUUUUAAACAGACCAUUGCUGCAUCGUGACUAAGCCACCUCAAUAUGAAGUCCAAUUUGUGUAUAUUUUGCCAAAUCUGUAUUACUGCCUAUAUAUCAACAUAUUCAAAUGUUUUACACUUGACACUAAGCAAAUUAACAUGUAUUGGUAAUUGGGCUGUUUAGGUUAUGUUGUUAGCAAAUAUAAAUAAUGUUGCUGAGCACGUUCUUUAGUUUGAGUUGGAAGUCGUAUCAGAGAAAUCAGAUUUAAAGUGGCCUUUUAUAUCAUUUUGAUAGCUUUUUAUAUUUUACCUUGUAUUUUAAGUUGUAUGAUCCUCAUAAGGCACAUAAUUAUAGCAUAACCUUUAAUGAUAUGUUAGCAUUGCAAUUUCUUUUUAUCGAUUAUGUAAUUGUCAUUUCUGCAUGUGCUGUGUCAGUGAUAGGUAAUAGGAAACCCAGGCAAUAGUCUGCAUAUAAAAACAAAUUUCCUGAAUUAAAUCAGGUUUUCCAGCCUCCCAGUUGUUGUUGUGUUUAGUAUAUUGGAUUAUAUUCAUGACGAUCUUGUAUUUGUAAUGGCCCCUAGUUUAGCUUAUUGCUGUACAGGCAGAGGUCACGUAAUGUAGCUACUGAGGAGACUUGAUCAUUAGCAUGCAUGUGUUGUUUGCAAGCUUUCAGUUGUAAUCUACUUAUAAUCAAUAACAAUAUGUGUAAUCGAAUUUAUAACUUUUUUAUAAAUGGUUUUAUUGAUUUAAUUAAUUCAAUUAAUUGUGAAGACAGAAUAAAUAUUUUGGUCCAGUGGAACAGCUUGAUCAAUGUUGACUGAAUGAUUCAAUAAAUAAUGAAUAAAAGAGUAAAUACUG